UGGUGGAGUGAUUUGUCUGGUUAAUUCCGUUAACGAACGAGACCUUAACCCGCUAAAUAGUUACACGUAGCCUCGGUUACGUGGGCAACUUCUUAGAGGGACUUUGCGUGUCUAACGCAAGGAAGUUUGAGGCAAUAACA
rnacentral:rRNA from 1 species